rnacentral:sRNA from 2 species
GAAUUGGUUUUCUAGGGUUCCGUGCGGAUAGCGCAGUCUGGACCGAGAGAAAACACAUAGGGUCUAGACAAUAGACCGUAUGGACACGGAGGGAUAAAAGCCCGGGAGAU